rnacentral:rRNA from 1 species
AUUGAACGCUGGCGGCAUGCCUUACACAUGCAAGUCGAACGGUAACAGGUCUUCGGAUGCUGACGAGUGGCGAACGGGUGAGUAAUACAUCGGAACGUGCCCGAUCGUGGGGGAUAACGAAGCGAAAGCUUUGCUAAUACCGCAUAAGAUCUACGGAUGAAAGCAGGGGACCGCAAGGCCUUGCUCGAACGGAGCGGCCGAUGGCAGAUUAGGUAGUUGGUGGGAUAAAAGCCUACCAAGCCGACGAGCUGUAGCUGGUCUGAGAGGACGACCAGCCACACUGGGACUGAGACACGGCCCAGACUCCUACGGGAGGCAGCAGUGGGGAAUUUUGGACAAUGGGCGAAAGCCUGAUCCAGCCAUGCCGCGUGCAGGAUGAAGGCCUUCGGGUUGUAAACUGCUUUUGUACGGAACGAAAAGACUCUUUCUAAUAAAGAGGGUCCAUGACGGUACCGUAAGAAUAAGCACCGGCUAACUACGUGCCAGCCGCCGCAGUAACAC